GUAGGAUUAAAGUACAGAUGAUUCCAUUUUACAAUUGCAAACGAUCGCCUGCGACGGUUCAAGUUCUGUUCAGCUCAAAAGACUAUUUUGCGUCCAAAUGAAAAGUGAUUCACAGUCACGGGUGAAAACAAAUGCUGUUCAACCAUGUGGAUCGAUAAGUCUGGGGACUAAGAUGAAGUUUAAUCUGAGCGCCGUUUGCUCAAUGUGUUUCAUGGCCAUUCUUUGCUUAAAGCUGUUUAACUUUUGGUUAGAACCACCAGCCAACACUGCACAACUUAAAAGCCUUGUUAGGAAGCGCAGCGCUUUCCUCCUUGAAUUAAUGUUCUUUUUGUUUUCACGCAGCUUGUCAGCAAAAGGUCAGGGGCCGGGCCGAUGUCAGGUCAUUGGAGCCCAGGAACGUGGCGAUGAUGCCGUUCUGGUCCACCUUCCGGAUGGUGGUGCCAUCCACAAAGUAAAUCAGGCCGUUCUUGUCCACGGCGAUGCCUGUUGACAUCAGGCUGGAGAAAAACACCAUCUGAAGACCCACUGGGAGACUUGUGUGGGGACAUGUGAUACGGCUGAGGGAGAAGCGGCGGCGGAAAAAUAAAAAAAGACUAAACCGCAACACAUGUUUUAUUCUCUGUGCUAUAGGAGAUACAAGUUUACCACCGAGCGCUGGAACUUGACCACACACUAAAAUCAAUUCCUGCUUUUUGACUUAUACCGAAGCGUCUUAAAAAAUACAACAAUGACCUCUAAGCGUCUGCGUCUCCUGUUGCAGACGUCAGAGUCACCGCUGCAGAGUGAAGUCGAGCGGCUGCGCUCUCAUUGUUCCGCAGACUUUUUUAUAAUGUACGCCCUGCAAAGGCUGUCGAUAAAUUAUUCACCCUAUAACCUCCAAUGAAUGUUUGAUAAAUGUGGGGCUCCAAACAAACUCCGCCACUGCUGCGGACUACUUCAUUAUGCCACUCGUCUCAAAAUAAUAUUUCAUGUGCGCCGUGUUUGUGCCGAUAAGAUACAAUGAAAAAAAAAAAGGUAAUUAAUUUUGUCAAAUUUAGCUGCCGAGCGUCUCGAAUGCGCCACAAUGUUUUGACUGUAAAACUAACUUCUACAAGGAGAUAAAAAGGCAAAUGAAUAUUCCCGAGCAAGAGAGUUAAUGCUACUGCCAGACAUGAAAUCGACAGUAAGCUGAAGACAAUGAGGAUGAGGAUUACUAAGAACCCGGCUGGGGGGGUAUCGCCUCAUUCUAUAUUUUCAGUAAAGCAUGCUAUUUACAUAAGGAUUACUUUAAACUAUUGGAGGAAAUAUUCCCAAAGCCUCGCGCACACAGUUGGCAAUCAUUUCCCUCUCCAUCACUCACAAAACAAACUCUACUCCUGAUUCUGAACAGAUGUGGGAGAGCAUGAGGUCUUGGGGAAAAACAUAACUCUGUCUCCUGCGUUUGAUG